rnacentral:tRNA from 1 species
UGGGUGGUGGCGGAAUAGGUAGCCGCACAGAUCAGAAGUGCAGGAGGGUCGUUGGCCUCCGAUUUCUUACUGACCAUUUGGUAGCCUGCAGGUUCGAAUCCUGCCCACCCAA